AUUGAACGCUGGCGGCAUGCCUUACACAUGCAAGUCGAACGGCAGCACGGGAGCAAUCCUGGUGGCGAGUGGCGAACGGGUGAGUAAUAUAUCGGAACGUGCCCAGUCGUGGGGAUAACGUAGCGAAAGCUACGCUAAUACCGCAUACGAUCUAUGGAUGAAAGCGGGGGAUCGCAAGACCUCGCGCGAUUGGAGCGGCCGAUAUCAGAUUAGGUAGUUGGUGAGGUAAAGGCUCACCAAGCCGACGAUCUGUAGCUGGUCUGAGAGGACGACCAGCCACACUGGGACUGAGACACGGCCCAGACUCCUACGGGAGGCAGCAGUGGGGAAUUUUUGGACAAUGGGCGCAAAGCCUGAUCCAGCAAUG
rnacentral:rRNA from 1 species